UACGUAGGCAGCGAGCGUUGUUCGGAGUUACUGGGCGUAAAGGGCGCGUAGGCGGCCGCCUAAGUCAGACGUGAAAUCCCUCGGCUCAACCGGGGGAACUGCGUCUGAUACUGGGUGGCUUGAAUUCGGGAGAGGGAUGCGGGAAUUCCAGGUGUAGCGGUGAAAUGCGUAGAUAUCUGGAGGAACACCGGUGGCGAAGGCGGCAUCCUGGGACCGAGAUUGACGCUGAGGCGCGAAAGCCAGGGGAGCAAAGCGGG
rnacentral:rRNA from 1 species